GCAGGAAGAUAGAAUGGUCCUUUGGGCCUCAAGGUCGUCUAUGAAUUUCUGGGUUCUGUCUGUGUUGAUCGCUAACUCGGUCGCCAUUGAUGAAAGGAGUGAAUGAUUAGAAGGGAAACCCUAAACCCUAGUUUGUCGUUAAUUGAAUUUCUGGUGGGGUUUCGUCGCGUUUCCGGAGCAAGAAAUCAAGAGAUCAAGCUCACCGC
rnacentral:misc_RNA from 1 species